rnacentral:misc_RNA from 1 species
AAAGUCGUAACAAGGUUUCCGUAGGUGAACCUGCGGAAGGAUCAUUACCGAGUUUGAAUCUUCCGAUUCAUCUCCCACCCAAUGUGUAUUGACUUGUCUCCGGCGGGAAACCGUUUGGAGCAAUCAACUCUUGUCUCUCAGAGACUAAAAAAAUUAAAACUUUCAACAACGGAUCUCUUGGUUCUG